rnacentral:SRP_RNA from 1 species
AGCGUGUCCUCUCGCCCAUGUUCAUCCGCCAGGACGAGCAACGGGUGCAGCCCUUGUUCUGGUCUGGUGCGUAUUCCG